GACGAACGCUGGCGGCGUGCCUAAUACAUGCAAGUCGAGCGCAGGAAACUGACGGAACUCUUCGGAGGGAAGGCAGUGGAAUGAGCGGCGGACGGGUGAGUAACACGUAAGGAACCUGCCUCAAGGAUUGGGAUAACUCCGAGAAAUCGGAGCUAAUACCGGAUAGUUCAACGGACCGCAUGGUCCGCUGAUGAAAGGCGCUCCGGCGUCACCUUGAGAUGGCCUUGCGGUGCAUUAGCUAGUUGGGGGGGUAACGGCCCACCAAGGCGACGAGGCAUAGCCGACCUGAGAGGGUGAUCGGCCACACUGGGACUGAGACACGGCCCAGACUCCUACGGGAGGCAGCAGUAGGGAAUCUUCCACAAUGGACGAAAGUCUGAUGGAGCAACGCCGCGUGAGUGAUGAAGGUUUUCGGAUCGUAAAACUCUGUUGUAAGGGAAGAACACGUACGAGAGGGAAUGCUCGUACCUUGACGGUACCUUACGAGAAAGCCACGGCUAACUACGUGCCAGCCGCCGCCGUAAUAC
rnacentral:rRNA from 1 species